UGCUCAUUUAUUGCUCGUGUCAAGCGGCCACUGUGGUGAAGGGAGACAAACUGCCUUUCUUGCGGUCACGUCUCCCAUGCGAAAGAACAUUUCUUGGCAUAGUCACCCAGACAUCAGAAUGGAUUUGCAAAACACUAAAACUGUCUGCUCCCGCAGCCUGUCCAACAGCACAGGGUCACGGGGAAGCGGAGCCUGCCCGGCAACACAGA